AGUCGAGCGCGCCUUUCGAGGUGAGCGGCGGACGGGUUAGUAACGCGUGGGAAUAUACCCUUUGGUACGGAAUAGCCUCUGGAAACGGAGAGUAAUACCGUAUGUGCCCUUUCGAGGGGAAAGAUUUAUCGCCAAGGGAUUAGCCCGCGUUAGAUUAGGUAGUUGGUGGGGUAAUGGCCUACCAAGCCUACGAUCUAUAGCUGGUUUUAGAGGAUGAUCAGCAACACUGGGACUGAGACACGGCCCAGACUCCUACGGGAGGCAGCAGUGGGGAAUCUUGGACAAUGGGCGCAAGCCUGAUCCAGCCAUGCCGCGUGAGUGAUGAAGGCCUUAGGGUCGUAAAGCUCUUUCGCCUGUGAAGAUAAUGACGGUAGCAGGUAAAGAAACCCCGGCUAACUCCGUGCCAGCAGCCGCGGUAAUACGGAGGGGGUUAGCGUUGUUCGGAAUUACUGGGCGUAAAGCGCACGUAGGCGGACUGGAAAGUUGGGGGUGAAAUCCCAGGGCUCAACCCUGGAACUGCCUCCAAAACUAUCAGUCUAGAGUUCGAGAGAGGUGAGUGGAAUUCCGAGUGUAGAGGUGAAAUUCGUAGAUAUUCGGAGGAACACCAGUGGCGAAGGCGGCUCACUGGCUCGAUACUGACGCUGAGGUGCGAAAGUGUGGGGAGCAAACAGGAUUAGAUACCCUGGUAGUCCACACCGUAAACGAUGAAUGCCAGUCGUCGGGUAGCAUGCUAUUCG
rnacentral:rRNA from 1 species